rnacentral:misc_RNA from 1 species
UCCGGUUUGGCACCGGCAGUCUUCCUAGGGUCCCCGACUUAACUCGCUGGCAACUAGGAACGGGGGUUGCGCUCGUUGCGGGACUUAACCCAACAUCUCACGACACGAGCUGACGACAGCCAUGCAGCACCUGUGCAUGGACUCCGAAGAGGGCCUCCCGUUUCUGGAAGGUUUCCCGUGCAUGUCAAGCCCAGGUAAGGUUCUUCGCGUUGCGUCGAAUUAAACCACAUGCUCCACCGCUUGUGCGGGCCCCCGUCAAUUCCUUUGAGUUUCAACCUUGCGGUCGUACUCCCCAGGCGGGGUACUUCCUGCGUUAGCGCCGGCACCCAGAGGGUCGCUCCCCCAGGCACCUAGUACCCAUCGUUUACGGCGUGGACUAC